UUGGCGUCUGUUCCUACUUUAUAUUUUUCUUUCUUUGGAAACAGAUAGAGCAGUUGUUUCUAAUUGUUAAUGGAGCAAGCUAUGUGUUGAUCACCCGUUUUGACUUUAGUUUGGGAUACUUUGAUUUGGGCUUUUGUUUUCAAGAGAGGUUGAGUUCUUGUGUUUGGUGUUUUUACUUUAUGGAGAUGUGUUAGUGUUAUGAGCAGUAAUUGAAUUUUGAUUCAUGUCCAGGUGCGAAAAAAUUAGGGAUCCACUAUAUAUUAUUUUGAUGCGUUUGUAGCUAAUAGUUAUUCGAGGUAUGAAUUUUAUUAAAAGAGGUGUUAAAGAAAACUGAUGUGUACGACGUUAAUACGUCUGUAGAGAUUUUUAUAUGAAAUCAACAUAUCUUCAAAUCUGCACGUAUAUCAGUUUAUGUUGUCUAGGUCUUUCUCGUGGCAGCUAGCUAAGGGGUUCUGUUGUUAUGACGACUUAUUAUGAAAUUUGAUUUGCUUUGUAGACUGUGAUUUGUUGGAGCAUUAUUUUGCUAUGUUUCUAACAGGUCUCAUCCCUCACUUUGUUUUGUUCAAAUAUAAAUUGUUUGCUUAACUCUCGUUUUUCAGAGGAGAAUAACAGCACGACGAAAUUAAUUUUUGAAGAGUUUUAACUUUUUAAAA
rnacentral:lncRNA from 1 species